rnacentral:lncRNA from 1 species
UCCAUUCACUGUUGAUGGACAUUUAGGUUGUCUCCAUGUCUUGGCUAUUGUGAAUAGUGCUGCUAUGAACAUAGGGAUGCGUGUAUCUUUCUGAAUUGGAGUUUUGUCCGGAUAUUUGCCCAGGAGUGGGAUCGCUGAAUCAUAAGGUAGUUCUAGAUUCAGUUUUCUGAGGAACCUCCAUAUUGUUCUCCAUAAUGGUUGUACCCAGUAUUGCUAUUCUAAAAUGAAAAUAUGGGGAGUUCUCUGGUGGCCCAGGAGUUAGAAUUAGGCACUUUCACCACUGUGGCCUGGGGUUCCAUCCCUGGUCUGGGAACUAAAAUCUCACAUCAAGCCACUGCACACCAUGGCCUAAAUAAAUAAAUAUCCCCUGGAGUUCUUGCUGUGGUGCAAGGGGAUCGAUGGUGUCUCUGCAGCAGCAGCAGGGGUAUAGGUUCGAUCCCCCUCCCUGGCACAGUGGAUUAAAGAUCCAGCACUGCCACAAGCUGUGGCAUAGGUUGCGACUCCAAAGGGGAUUUGAUCCCUGGCUUGGAGACUCCAUAUGCCAUGGGCAGACAAAACAAAAACAAAACCCUGGAAGCUGGUAAAUUCUCUUAGCUUAAAAAAAAAGAAGAAAGAAAAUAAAGGAGUUCCCAUUGUAGUUCAGUGGGUUAACAACCCAACUAGCAUCCAUGAGGGUGCAGGUUCAAUCCCUGGCCUCACUCAGUGGGAUAAGGAUCUGCCUACACCAAAACUCUCAGCAACACUGGAUCCUUAACCCACUGAGUAAGGCCAGGGAUCAAACCCUUGUCUUCAUGGUUGCUAGUUGGGUUCGUCAACCACUGAGCCAUGAUGGGAACUCCUGGAAUUUAAAUGUUUUAAAGGUAAUGCAAGGAUUGUGUGGGGGAGACUUCCUGGUUGGGAGGAGAGGGAAGGUUUGGAAGGAAGAAGUUCUAAGAAAUCUGAAGUAGGACCAGAGAGGCUACAGGUUUUGAAUGCAGCAAGCAUGCCUGCCCUCAGCAUUGCUGAGGAAGUGGCUACCAAUAAGGUCAGUGAGGUUCUCCCUUACCUGUGGAUGGCAGAGAGAGAUCCAGAGCGAAACUUCCCCAACAGGCACGUGAAGCACUCAGGAAAAUCCUGUUAGAGAGCAGGUUCUGACUCAGCAGGUCUGGGCAGGGCUGAGCUUCUGCUUUUCUAACUGGCUCCCGGGUGAUGCUGAUACUGUUGGUCCCAGGACUAACUUUGAGUUGUAAAAGGCUGGAGAGAUGGACAUCACCGUUCACCUGGGAGGAGGGGAAGAGAUGCUGAAAGGGAAGCUGCGACCUGAAGACACAAUUCCCAACCUCACCAGGGCCUGAGUAGAGGGGCGGGCUCUCGGCUGUGGCCCAGUGAGCAGAGCAGAGCCUGAGUACCGCAGCCUCGGGAAGCAGGUCCGGUUCUGACUGCCUGCAAACAGCCACGCUGGGCAGUGCCUCAGCCCCUAGCCUCACGUCCCCGUCUGUGCAAUAGUCGUUGUAACCCCCAGUGCCUGUGUCUUGAGGUUGUUCUGGGGAUUGAACAUGAGGGUCUCCACAUACAGCGCAACUACUUGUUGAAGCGACUGAAUGCCAAAAGCAUGGUGUUUCCCUGUUUUGUAUUAAUACGGCAGUACCCCCAUGCAGCCAUUUUUACUUUAUUUUUUCAAUCAUUCAGCCAUUCAACAGAUAUACAUCAAAAGCCCACCACAUGCUGCCAAAGAAUUUGCUGUAUGAAAGCUCCAGUCUUGUGGGAUCCAGAUUAACAGAAGGUUAGAGCUCAAGAAAAGAAAAGAGAGAGUUCCCUGGUGGGUCAGUGAGUUAAGGAUCUGGUGUUGUCACUGCAGUUGCUCCGGUGGCUGUUGUGGUGUAGGUUUGAUCCCU